AAUGGUGGCGAUGAAAAAAGGAGAGGGACUUACGUACAAGGAAGCUGAGAGUAAUAUUAAGGUGUAUAGUUUCUCUUUAUUGGUAAUUCAAUUGUCUUGAUCUUCACACGAGAUGAAGAGAAGAGAUGGAAAAAAGGAAACAGAGAAAACAAAAAGAAGGCUGAAGCAGCCUGAGCCAGCAACUAGUGAGAGAGAGAGAGUGUGUGUGUGAGAGAGAGAGAGAGAGAA